rnacentral:misc_RNA from 1 species
AAUCUGAAUUUAGUUUGUGAAUCGGUUAUUGAUGAUGGGGUUAGGGUUUUUGGAGAAGGUAAUGAUGUUGUUAAGGGUUUAAGAGUGGAAAUGGAAGGUUUAGGUGUGGAGAUUGACUUGGGUCCAUGUGAUCUCGAAGGUGGAAUGGGGUUUGCAGGGUAUGGUCGGCUUGACGGUGAGCUUGUGGUUGAUUUGACGAGAUUUUCGCAACUUACACGAAGGGGGAAUGUAGUAGAAGGAGCCGACAACAUGCAAGAGGUAUCAGGUGGGACAAAUGGAUCUGUUCGUGAUGGUAGAACAGUCAACUUUAAUGAUGGUAUACAUGUUGGGCUUGAUGCUGUCAUUCCAGAAAGACGAGAGGUUAAGCACAGAAUGGAAGAUGAAGGGAAGUUUAACGUGUCCGAUUUAGUAUGGGGUAAGGUGAGGAGUCAUCCUUGGUGGCCUGGGCAGAUAUUGGACCCUUCUGCUGCAUCAAACAGCGCAAUGAAAUAUUUCAAAAAGAAUUGCUAUCUUAUAGCUUAUUUUGGUGACCAGACAUUUGCA